AUGCUCUUUAUGAAAGCAACUGUGGGUAAUCUUACACUCGAAGAAAGAGAGAUAAGUAAAAAUACAAAAUACAAAAGUCAAAAUACAGUGACAUUGGUGAUUAGUUCCACUUGGUUGCUCCAAGACAAAGCAAAAGAUUGGUGCCUUUUUUUUUCAGCAGUUUAGUGACUCUUUGCAGGUCAGUGUCUAUUGUGUGUGCAUCUUGAGGAAGUUAUUAUGAGUGAGGUUACUAAUAUGUCCUGCUCCGUGAGCCACAGGUUAAUGGUGUGUACUGAGUGCAGUUCCGGACGCUGGAGAAAGCAAUCACUGGGGGUUGCCAGUCCACUGCUCUCUCUGAGGUCCUGUGUCAGCGGGCCCAGGUGUCUCCGGCGCUGAUAUUACAGCGGGGCAAUGAGCUACAGCAAACAGAGAUGAGUUUCCUCGCUGACCCCCACCGGCACACAGCUGCCAUGACAACCAGCAUCCAGAGAGAUCAGAGGAGAGGCUGGACCCUAAAGAUAAAGUAAAUGAAACCUUAAAGUAAAAUAUCACAGCAAUUAGCCAUUAUUGCACUCUAGAUGUCACUACAUUAGAUGCAACAUAUCAAAUCAAAUGGAUCCUGAGUUUUUCCUCAGAAUUAACAUUCUGAGCCAGACUAACUAUGAGUAACAGACCAACUAACUAUUAUCUAUGUUCUAUUAAUAUUUGGCAAUCACAUAGUCUUCACAUCUAAUUUGAUUACUUUUUUUUUUUUUUUUUUUAGGUGCGGCAUUAAUAUUGUGACAUUAUUAUUUUCUUUUUUUUCUUUUUGUCAGGCGCUUCCAAAGAAGAGGGCAGUAAAAGUACAUGAUACAGAAUUGGCUGUGAUCCAUAUGUUAUCUUAAACAGCUUGUGUUGUACUUUACACUUCGUUACUGAACAGGUUUGUGUCCAGAAUAACAUAGCCUACUAUUCUCAUACUCACUUUAUUUCUUUAGAGUGCAAACUGCUCAAGUUUUCAGUAUAGAAUUCUAAAUUUGAUCAAAUAUGGAUCUGAGACUUGAACCCGUCCGACUCUCUAACUAUUAGGACACGACUGCCCCCAUUAGGUUUGUUCAAGAUGCAUCAGUGCUGCACAGACUGAUCGGUGUAUGACAGGUGCUUCUCAAAUGGAAAUCUACAUCCUACCAAGGCAGCGUCCUUCCUGGUUCAGUCCUUCAGAGGCUUGAAGGCUAGAGUCCUCCUCUGCAUUAAACACUAGAAUGAGACAGUCAAGUAAGUGCACGUGGCUACAUCACAUUAUGUUCCCGCCCUCACCGUCAUGGUAUAAAAACACUAAUAAACCUAAGAUUUGGAAAAAUACUUUGUAUUAC
ensembl:lncRNA